rnacentral:rRNA from 1 species
GACGAACGCUGGCGGCGUGCUUAACACAUGCAAGUCGUACGGUAAGGCCCUUUCGGGGGUACACGAGUGGCGAACGGGUGAGUAACACGUGAGUAACCUGCCCACAACUUUGGGAUAACGCUAGGAAACUGGUGCUAAUACUGGAUAUGUGCUCCUGCUGCAUGGUGGGGGUUGGAAAGCUCCGGCGGUUGUGGAUGGACUCGCGGCCUAUCAGCUUGUUGGUGGGGUAGUGGCCUACCAAGGCGGCGACGGGUAGCCGGGCUGAGCGGGUGAUCGGCCACAGGCGGAAUGAGACGCGGCCCGGACUCUUACGGGAGGCAGCAGCAGGGAACGUCCGGCAAUGGGCGACAGUCUGACCGAGCGACGCCGCGUGAGAGACGACGGUGUUCGGAUCGUAAAGAUUUGUUGUAAGAGAAGAACGGGUGUGAGAGGGGAAAGUUCACACUGUGACGGUAUCUUACCAGAGAGGGAAGGCUAACCACGUG